ensembl:lncRNA uncharacterized LOC106098100
AAAUAAUGAACAGUAGAUGGCAGUAACACACCACUGAUGCAUCUAGCCUGCCAAACCCAAAGAAGAAGAACAUGGCAGCAAGAUUUCUGAAAGAUUCACUCACUUUUCAACAAUCCCACCAAAUAUUGUAGAUUAUGAUUGUAAGAGGCCUGUCUGAACUUAAUAUACAGAUUUCAUGCUGUUGUUAACGGUGUGAUUUCUGAUGGUUAUGUUUAAGAGCACCUCACAAGGAAGGCGCACACCCUCAUCAAGAGCUGCUCUAUGGCCACAGAAUCUGGUCAGAAGAGAUUUUCCAGUGCCUACUCCCCUGGGUUCAGGAGGGUGAAGUGGAACAGGUACAUCCUAAUGCAGUUUAUGAACACAUGACUGGUUAUCAUGUCUUCAACUCGCACUGAGCUGACAUCAGUGUGGUUGUUGAUCCUGCAAAACAGGAUGGUUUAAAC